GAAUCUUGCACAAUGUACGAAAGUAUGAUGCAGCGACGCCGCGUGAAGGAUGAAGGCCCUUGGGUCGUAAACUUCUUUUAUCGGGGAAGAAUAAAUGACGGUACCCGAUGAAUAAGCCACGGCUAACUACGUGCCAGCAGCCGCGGUAAUACGUAGGUGGCAAGCGUUGUCCGGAUUUACUGGGCGUAAAGAGUAUGUAGGCGGACAUUUAAGUAGGAAGUGAAAGGUUGGAGCUCAACUCCAACACUGCUUCCUAUACUGGGUGUCUUGAGUGCCGGAGAGGAAAGCGGAACGACACGUGUAGCGGUGAAAUGCGUUGAUAUGUGUCGGAACACCAAUGGCGAAGGCAGCUUUCUGGAC
rnacentral:rRNA from 1 species